UGUGUGUGUGUGUGUGUGUGUGUGUACAUGCAUGUGUGUACAUGCAUGUGUGUGCGUAUGCACACACACAUGCAUAUG